UUCAGUCUAUAAAAUAUUUUUGACAAUUCUAUAUAAUAUUUCAAAACAAUUCACAAAAGUAAAGCUGAAAGUAGUGUUUGGAAAAAUUUGAGUUGAGACCCAAUGGAGAGAUUCUUAUACAUAACAACAUAAAAGCACCCACUGCUCUCUAUUCUCCUUGCUUUCUAUUCUUGUACAGUUUUGUCUUUUUUUAUCAGAAACCAAACAGAAAGUAUGUUUGAACAAAAUUGUAAAAUUCAAACAUUGAGUAGAACAACAUUUUAUAUAAAAUAGUAAUAAUAGAGAGAGAGAGAGGGAGACCUGAAUCAUGGAUAGUAUUUACCUUGCAUCAGGAUUCAACAACACAAGAUAAAACAAUAUCUAAGAAAGGGUAAAUUGUUAUUUUGUGAUUUAUCUAACAAUUUGUGUGUAUUUGAAGGUUUUGAGAAUGAUUCUUCAAGUACAAAAGAUGAAAAUAAUGUUGGGAGUCAUGGUGCUUCUGGUAGCUCUGUAGGUAUCAAGGUAGUUAUUGUAUGCCUUGGUGGCUGUUUUUUCUUUUGCUAGCUUUUAUUCAAGAUAUGGCAAAAAAAGAAGAGAGAAGAGCAGCAUGCUUGUCUUCUAAAGCUGUUUGAGGAUGAUGAUGAGCUUGAGGUCGAAAUUGGUAUUCACGACUGAGAUCCUUUCUCAUUCAUGUCUUGACUAUAAUCAAGAGUGUACAAGGGAUUGCCGGCUAAUUUCGUUUUCGCUCAUGAUUUUGGCAAUGUGCGUAAUGGGCGUGUCUUAUGCCACGUAUGGGUUAUGGAGGAGUAUGGUGUGCCCGAGUCUUGGACUAGAAAAUUUGUGAUACCAAUGAAAUGGGUUCGGUGGGAACAUUUCUUUGGCUGCACUAACAAUGGUGAACUUCUCAUUAACAAUGCCACUGGGCUGGUUUCAAUUGACCCUGAGAGUCAAAAUCAGAACAUUCUUGCAAUUGAAGAUGCUAAUUGGGUGGCUUUCUCAGCUUCAAUGGAGAGCUUGGUUUUACUUGAUGGGGGAGGAUUGUUUAGCUGUUUGUGUCUAUGUUUGGUGAAAGUAAUUGUGGGUAACAAUGUGUAUUGAGGUUUGGGAAAAUUUUCAUUGAGUACUGUCUACUUUAUUUUUUAUAGAUUUUGUUAUUAUUGCUGAGAAUAUCUCACAAUUCUGUGCACAUUGUAGGUGUUAUCAAUGUUACAAGUAGCAACGAGACGUAUUUAAGAGUAUACCAUUAUAGUUGGCAACUCCAAAAUGUGCUUAAAAUGGGGAUUUCAGAUAGCUAAGCAAUUUUGUUCUUUAGUUCCAUAGCUAUUUCUGAUAGAAUAUUGUUGUCAAAUGUUCUCAAGUCCAACAACUAGCAGUAGUUGAAAUUAUGCUUCCUUUUAGAAGUUUAAAACAGUGGAAUCCUGGUUGAUCGUAUUUAACAGUGGAAGAAACAAAAAUUGCGUUAAUAUCAUUAGUAGGUGUUAAUGUUGCAAUGAAGUAGGACAGAUUUGAAGAUAUGCAUGUGUGAUUUUAGGAUAGGAAAAGUUUCUGUAUUAUUAUUGUUUUUGAUAAAUAAUAAAACUUCAUUGAAAGGAAAUAUCAAACACAAAGAAAUGUCUUGUGUGCUGAGGAAAACAUGAAAACCACAAAACUAAGAUGUACUUUUAUUAUUAACAGGUACAGUUUUUUUUUUACUAUUGAUUUAUAAGAGAUCUAAUAGUUGAAAAAUACACCAUUAGCCAUGUCAUCACUAAAAUUUGUUAAUGGCCACCUCAACUGACUUAUUUAAUGGCACCUUAUUUUUCUCAUGCUCAUUCAUUACUCAAAAUGUU